UCUGCAGAUGGGAAGACCCUGGAGAAAGGAAAAGAAGGUGAGGAUAGAAGGGGCCAGUAGGGAUUGAAGAUUAAAAAUGUGGCAAAGCACACAUCUCAACCCAGUGCUGUCAGAGAGUCUGCCCACAGCUCGUCUUGAAAGAAGCACACGCUUCCAGACACAGACUUUCAGUCCCCAUGGAAGAGAAGCACAGUCAACCAAGGCCACAGACUUCAGGGUCUUGUUAGAAACUACUCUAGGUCUGACCCACAAAAUUCUACCUUCUCCGGAGAUCAGCAGAUCUUGUCAUUAAAUACAGAGCCUGCUCUUCAGCUUUUCCUGCCUUCUGGCUGCAAGAGAUGAAAGAAUAUUUCUAUCUUAGUUCCUGACUGUGCUGCUACCAACUCCCCUGUUGCCAGUCAGCAUCUUUCCCUCAGCCCCUCCUUCUGUGUCCAGGAGGAUGCCCAGUGCCAGCUCUGGCUUUGCUCCUUGUCAUGGUUUUCUCUGGGACCCAGGAAUGCUCACAUUCAGGUCUCUUUCAUGCCAUCCCCAUGCACACAUCACAGAGAAUAGAUGUUGCCCAGUGAUGCUUCUGGAAGUGGACAAUGUGUUCAUCAGCAGGUGAACCAAGAAGAGGAGAAAAGAUGGCAAGUCUUUCUAGCAACAAGGAAGUGACAAUUUCACCACAUAUAGAGAGGCAGCACAAGGACGUGUGCGCUACUGCAAUCGUGGGCUAUGGCAGGGGUUUUCAGGGCCAACUCUUUCUCCCCAGUCUGGUUUCUGAACUUCUGUGCUUCUCCAUAAGCCAGUCCUCCCAUUAAA
rnacentral:lncRNA from 1 species